GAUGAACGCUAGCGGCAGGCCUAAUACAUGCAAGUCGAACGGGAUCCAGAUCAAAGCUUGCUUUGGUCUGGUGAGAGUGGCGCACGGGUGCGUAACGCGUGAGCAACCUACCCUUGUCAGGGGGAUAGCCCGGCGAAAGUCGGAUUAAUACCGCAUGACAUCAUUGAGAGGCAUCUUUCGAUGAUCAAAGAUUUAUCGGACAAGGAUGGGCUCGCGUGACAUUAGCUAGUUGGUAAGGUAACGGCUUACCAAGGCUGCGAUGUCUAGGGGCUCUGAGAGGAGAAUCCCGCAAACUGGUACUGAGACACGGACCAGACUCCUACGGGAGGCAGCAGUAAGGAAUAUUGGUCAAUGGACGGAAGUCUGAACCAGCCAUGCCGCGUGCAGGAAGACGGCCCUAUGGGUUGUAAACUGCUUUUAUACGGGAACAAACGUCGGUACGUGUACCGGUCUGAGUGUACCGUAAGAAUAAGGAUCGGCUAACUCCGUG
rnacentral:rRNA from 1 species